GCGUAUGACCGUCGGUUUCCAACAUGCAAGAUGAUACCAAUCUUUGUCGGGAGUGAGAUCUUGUCAGAAUUCAAGAGUAACGAUGGCGCUGUCCAUAUAGUGGAGAGACGCUGCAAACUCAACCCUGAUGCUCCAUAUCUACUUAAAAAGAUUGCUGGUGUAGAGUUUGUCUAUUUUAUCCAGAAGAAUAAUCUUGACAUGAAAGGAAGAACGCUGAAGAUUGAAGCCAGGAAUGAAACAUUCGCUUCACGUAUUGGGAUCUUAGAAGGAUGCACAUACUCGGUACAUCCUGAUAACCCAGGCUGGACAAUCUUUGAGCAGACUGCUAGCUUGGAGGUCAAAUCAUUCUUUGGGUUUGAGAAUACAGUGGAGAAAAUUGCUGCCAAACAAUAUGCUGCCAAUAUCAAGAAGGUAACAUUAGAGACAACAACUCAAGCCUUUAUUCCUCUUUCUUUCUUUUUUUUUCUUUCUUUCUUUCUUUCUCAUUUUCCAAGGCUUUCUAUCAAAUGGUUAUUCUUAUUGCUUUAUUCUUUUUUUGUUGUUGGCAGUAUUGGUAUUCUUUUUCUUAUUCAUCACUGCUUUCUUUCCAUGCUCUGAUGGUAUUGGAAGGAAGUCUACGUGUAAAAUCUACUUUGCAUGAUAUUUCACCCUCAAAUUGAGCAAACAUCCCCCCCCCCAAAAAAAAAAAUAAUGAAUGAAUAAAAAAUAGUAAUAGUAACAGCAACAAUUAGACAAAGAUAUCCUUGGAAUACCAUUUUAGAUUUCGCAUUCUAGUCAGUCAUGUUUAGCACAUGCGAUACAAAUAGAUAUUAAAUUCAAUUUCAAAAUAUAGAUGUCUGUGGAAACACCUUUCUUUUAAUAUAGACUGUUCAGCUGACUAUUCGAUUACCAGCCAGCCAUCUUCAUCAAAGGGUUUAUGAGUUACAUGUAUAAAUAACUUUAAUCAAACAAGCUACCACAGUAGUAAAAGUGGUUGGGCACAUGGCAAAGCUUUUAGCCUAACCAGAUCAAUUGAGUUAAUUGGAUUAGGUUGAGCUCAAGUGUUAUUAAUAGAUAGAUGGUUCCAAUUAGACGAGCUAUCCUGGAUUAUGACGAACGCCGGGUAUCCAAUGAAGUGAAUAAUUAGAAAAGGGGAAGCUCAGCCUCUGCUAAAACAAUGAUAACGGUUUAAAUAAUUUUGUUAAAAGUGGGUUACAUCAUUGUACUAAUGAUCUCCAUGGUACACU